UCUUUUACAUUUUUUGCAACUAUAUUUUCUCAAUUAUCACUAAUUAACUCGCCAAAUUAAUCAACUGAAGACAAUAGAAAAUUUGUUUUGCAAAAUUUACGAGUAGACACGUGACCAGCGCGUUUUAAUAGCUACUUUGUUACAAUUUAUGCACAAGUGUAUGUAUAUAUAUAUGUAACAAAUGGAUUGAACACGUACUUGUAAAAAUUAAAAUGCAUACAAUUGUAUAUACAUAACAUAUAUUUUAUGGAACUGUGAACAUGAAUAUAUGCUAUAUAUAUUUAUACUUGCGCUAAUAAUUAUUCUCACCAAUUUUGAAUAAAUUGAUUCGUAAAAUAAAUUUUAAAUUUUGCGACAUUUAAAAAUUUCAAAGACAUUUAGAUUUACAGUGGGCAAAAUAAGAACGUUAGAUACUAAAAUAGAAUUUUAUUUUAACGGAUUUAACUAUAAAUUUUUUUUAAAUAUACACAUAUUUAUGCUUAGAGCAAAAGCGUUGAAUAAUUUUUAAUGACACAUACUUGUAUGGUUUAGCGAUAACAAUAGUUUUUUUUUACCUUAGCAUACAGUUGCAGUUUUUUCUUUUAAUUACAUCACUGUACGUUUUUAGCUACAAGUAUAGUCUUUUUUUAAUGUUUUUGUUUUUUAUGAUUUUAUUAAAAUAACAAGUAUUUCUAUUGCAAUUCUCGUUUAUAUUUUAUCAUAUUUUAUCGUUAUUUAUAAAAUUAUUUUUUCCUAAAGAAUUCUAGCAUUCGUUUUACAGAAGUGCUUAGAUUAUGUGUGUAUUAAUUCUAUGAGGAAGGAAGAGUUUUUUGCAACGCUCAAAUCUUUUUUUAUAAAAGUAAGCCUAAUAUAAGAAUACAAUAAUUUUACUUAAUUAAUGAAGUUAUGUGAAAAACAAUGUUAAAAAGAAACCAACGAAUGUAGUCUGAUUUUAAGAAAUGAGUCCAUACCCCCUUACCUCAUUUCGAAAAUAUGACAAUAAAUUCAUUUCAUAAAUAAUUCAAUCGGUUCAUAUGAAAAACGAUUUCGGUCGUUCACAGACAAGAUUCCAGUAUAAAAAGCUGAAACUCGGAACUAUAGAAGUUUUGGAAACAUCAUCGGUAAUGAUAGACAAAACUUGAAAUGAGUUAACGAGUUAUAAAUAAAUUGAAUAUCAUUAAAUUGAGAUACUGCUUUAAUGCCCUGCGUCCUUAUGUUAGUCUUUAUUUGUACACGGUAACUUUGCUAGCUCAUUUUCGGGAAAUUCUCCUUUGGUGUUGGCGAUUGCGUUCACACGAGCGACACAAGUGCAGCAACUAGCGUAGGGGAAAUUUCUGUAUUCCCUUUCAUAUCAAAUUCUUAAUUUUUUGUACGCUCUUGGUACACAAAUUUGUUUCAUUAGCUGUUUGUUAACCUAUUUAUCAUUUCCUAAUUUUCUACAUUUCUAUUAUAUUACUUCUAUAAGUAUAUAUUACAUUCCUAAUUUAGAUGAUAAAAUUCAAAUUUCCGAACAUGAAAGGAAAUGCGUACUGCGUAGCAUCGAACUUUUACGAACAAGAAAACAAAGCGUUGCCUAAGCAUGAGUAACUAGGUGCCAUUAUUCUUUCCUCGUGGUCCCCUCGGCAACAAACCAGUCGACGCAACAAAAAUAUUCGUGUCUUAAACGUUAAUGAAUUUUACAAAAGACAUGAGACAUGUAAAAACCUUGUUUCUAUAAAGCAUUUCCUAAAUAACAAUUCCGUCCUCGUAUAAAGAUCAGUUUUCAACAUCAAACAUUAUAUUUCGUCGAAGUUAGAACCAGCGUAAAAACUUAGAUAAAAGAAAUGAUUGACAUUUUUUUUUGCUAAUAUAGUCUUAAAUAAUCGUAGCAAUUUUCCUCAUUGAUCAAAGAAAUCUUUUCUAAUAUAGGGAUAGUAAUUCCUAUUUGAUCGAGGGGAAACUCUUACAAAAGUUACGUCUAUUGUGGAAACCCAAAUCACUAAUGGCUGGACAAUUAACUGCAUGAGUAUGAAUAUAUCAGAAUUAUAUUGCCUACGCUAUUUUAACUAUACAGUAGUGAUUUUCAGAAUUAAAAUUAUUCAAGCGCGAAAAUUUCAAAACUACAAGUAGGGUGGAUGUACAAGUAUGUAUGACGACGCAUCGGGACCUUCUGGAUUUUAAAAAUUAUAUAUACAGUAGAUAUAUGUAUACAUUAGGGUCUUCAAUUGCAGAAAGAAAUUUUUACUUCCCUCUCACUAGAUUGCAUUCGCUUCGAAUACUCUAAAUGCGAAACUAUAUCAUACAAAUUUUGCUGCCGAUUGAAUCAAAGUUAAGACUAUACUAAUCCUCUCCAAUCCGAACCAAAAUGUAUGUAUGUGCAUGAUAUCAUUUACUGUGGUAGGUAGUGUCGAUGAAGAGUGUGAAUACUCUAAUGUACAUUGCGCAGAAUUGUAUAAAUAAUAUUUUAACGUUAAUUGUCUGCUUA